AUUGAACGCUGGCGGCAGGCCUAACACAUGCAAGUCGAACGGUAACAGGAAGAUGCUUGCUUCUUUGCUGACGAGUGGCGGACGGGUGAGUAAUGUCUGGGAAACUGCCUGAUGGAGGGGGCUAACUACUGGAGACGGUAGCUAAUACCGCAUAAUGUCGCAAGACCAAAGAGGGGGACCUUCGGGCCUCUUGCCCUCGGAUGUGCCCUGAUGGGAUUAGCUAGUAGGUGGGGUAACGGCUCACCUAGGCGACGAUCCCUAGCUGGUCUGAGAGGAUGACCAGCCACACUGGAACUGAGACACGGUCCAGACUCCUACGGGAGGCAGCAGUGGGGAAUAUUGCACAAUGGGCGCAAGCCUGAUGCAGCGAUGGCGCGUGUAUGAAGAAGGCCUGCGGGUUGUAAAGUACUUUCAGCGGGGAGGAAGGGAGUAAAGUUAAUACCUUUGCUCAUUGACGUUACCCGCAGAAGAAGCACCGGCUAACUACGUG
rnacentral:rRNA from 1 species